ensembl:snoRNA
GCUGUAAUGUGUGCAUAGUUUCUGUCUGUGUCUGGUAGCAGUGUCUGUCUGUGUUUUGCAUUCAGAUCUUGCUAUUCACAUAAGCAUCAUGUAGCCAGAGAAUAACUUGGAAUCAUAGUACUGGUCUGGUGGUGUCCUUUUGGACAUAUCGACCACUGGCCAGCCUCCAAAUUCCCACACAAAU